CGUCCGAGGGAGGGAAGGCCGCCGCGGAAGUUCGCCCGAUGACCUCAGCGCCGACGGCGUUCAGGGUGAGACAGACGGACGACAAGGACGCCCAGCCAGACGAGCCUUUGCGGCAAGGAGGAAGGCAGCGGCGGCGCCCCAGGCGCGGAGGAGAGCAGGGAGGACGAGGCAGCCCGAGCGGGAGCACUCCCUGAGUCCCUCCUCCAGACAGAGGCGCAUCCCACGUGGGCCAGGGCUCUUCUACAAAAUAUAAUUUUUUGUGGCAAAGCAACAUUUACUUGAAGAUCUGCAAUUCCCUCCGUUCAAAUACCACUUCAUUUUCUUCUCUUAAAAUUGAAGUUAAAUUUAAUAAAAUACUUUUAUAGUGAAAA